CCAAUCUGGAGGAUGUUUAUUGUCAAGAUACGGGGAAAUCAUUAAUGCCGAUACACUUGAGGGCCAGAGCGGCAUAUGGUACUUUUCGUGAACAAUAUAGGGGUGAUGAGAGGAAUCGGGAUAAGAUCACGGCAAAUCUCGAGUUAGUGGAGGGAUUUGAGACUGCAUCCAAGGAGGCUGCAUCUGUGUACAUGUCGCAGGAGGAGGAACAAACCGAG